rnacentral:rRNA from 1 species
AGAGUUUGAUCCUGGCUCAGGACGAACGCUGGCGGCGUGCCUAAUACAUGCAAGUUGAGCGCUGAAGACUGGUACUUGUACCGGUUGGAUGAGCAGCGAACGGGUGAGUAACGCGUGGGUAACCUGCCCUAUAGAGGGGGAUAACUAGAGGAAACUUUAGCUAAUACCGCAUAAAAUCUAAUAACACAUGUUAUAAGAUUGAAAGUGCCAACUGGUACACUAUAGGAUGGACCCGCGUUGUAUUAGCUAGUUGGUGAGGUAAAGGCUCACCAAGGCGAUGAUACAUAGCCGACCUGAGAGGGUGAUCGGCCACACUGGGACUGAGACACGGCCCAAACUCCUACGGGAGGCAGCAGUAGGGAAUCUUCGGCAAUGGACGAAAGUCUGACCGAGCAACGCCGCGUGAGUGAAGAAGGCUUUCGGGUCGUAAAACUCUGUUGUUAGAGAAGAACAAGGAUGAGAGUAGAACGUUCAUCCCUUGACGGUAUCUAACCAGAAAGCCACGGCUAACUACGUGCCAGCAGCCGCGGUAAUACGUAGGUGGCAAGCGUUGUCCGGAUUUAUUGGGCGUAAAGCGCGCGCAGGCGGAUCAGUCAGUCUGUCUUAAAAGUUCGGGGCUUAACCCAGUAAGCCAUAGAAACCGGGCAGCUAGAGUAUCGGAGAGGAAAGUGGAAUUCCAUGUGUAGCGGUGAAAUGCGUAGAUAUAUGGAGGAACACCAGUGGCGAAGGCGGCUCUCUGGUCUGUAACUGACGCUGAGGCUCGAAAGCGUGGGGAGCGAACAGGAUUAGAUACCCUGGUAGUCCAUGCCGUAAACGAUGAAUGCUAGGUGUUGGAGGGUUUCCGCCCUUCAGUGCCGGAGUUAACGCAAUAAGUACCCCGCCUGGGGAGUACGACCGCAAGGUUGAAACUCAAAGGAAUUGACGGGGGCCCGCACAAGCGGUGGAGCAUGUGGUUUAAUUCGAAGCAACGCGAAGAACCUUACCAGGUCUUGACAUCCUUUGACCACUCUAGAGAUAGAGCUUUCCCUUCGGGGACAAAGUGACAGGUGGUGCAUGGUUGUCGUCAGCUCGUGUUGGGAGAUGUUGGGUUAAGUCCCGCAACGAGCGCAACCCUUAUUGUUAGUUGCCAUCAUUUAGUUGGGCACUCUAGCGAGACUGCCGGUGACAAACCGGAGGAAGGUGGGGAUGACGUCAAAUCAUCAUGCCCCUUAUGACCUGGGCUACACACGUGCUACAAUGGGAAGUACAACGAGUCGCUAGACCGCGAGGUCAUGCAAAUCUCUUAAAGCUUCUCUCAGUUCGGAUUGCAGGCUGCAACUCGCCUGCAUGAAGCCGGAAUCGCUAGUAAUCGCGGAUCAGCACGCCGCGGUGAAUACGUUCCCGGGCCUUGCACACACCGCCCGUCA